CAGUCGCCGCGGGAACACGGAAGGUCCAGGCGUUAUCCGGAUUUAUUGGGUUUAAAGGGAGUGUAGGCGGUCUGUUAAGCGUGUUGUGAAAUUUAGGUGCUCAACAUUUAACUUGCAGCGCGAACUGGCGGACUUGAGUGCACGCGACGUAUGCGGAAUUCAUGGUGUAGCGGUGAAAUGCUUAGAUAUCAUGACGAACUCCGAUUGCGAAGGCAGCGUACGGGAGUGUUACUGACGCUUAAGCUCGAAGGUGCGGGUAUCGAACAGGAUUAGAUACCCCCGUAGUCCCUGUCUCUUAUAC
rnacentral:rRNA from 1 species